UACGUAGGGUGCAAGCGUUGUCCGGAAUUAUUGGGCGUAAAGAGCUCGUAGGCGGUUUGUCGCGUCUGCUGUGAAAACUCGGGGCUUAACUCCGGGCCUGCAGUGGGUACGGGCAGACUAGAGUGCGGUAGGGGAGACUGGAAUUCCUGGUGUAGCGGUGGAAUGCGCAGAUAUCAGGAGGAACACCGGUGGCGAAGGCGGGUCUCUGGGCCGUAACUGACGCUGAGGAGCGAAAGCAUGGGGAGCGAACAGG
rnacentral:rRNA from 1 species